GUGGGGAAUAUUGGACAAUGGGCGCAAGCCUGAUCCAGCCAUGCCGCGUGUGUGAAGAAGGCCUUUUGGUUGUAAAGCACUUUAAGCGAGGAGGAGGCUCCUUUAGUUAAUACCUAAAGAGAGUGGACGUUACUCGCAGAAUAAGCACCGGCUAACUCUGUGCCAGCAGCCGCGGUAAUACAGAGGGUGCAAGCGUUAAUCGGAUUUACUGGGCGUAAAGCGCGCGUAGGUGGCCAAUUAAGUUAAAUGUGAAAUCCCCUAGCUUAAAUUGGGAAUUGCAUUCGAUACUGGUUGGCUAGAGUAUGGGAGAGGAUGGUAGAAUUCCAGGUGUAGCGGUGAAAUGCGUAGAGAUCUGGAGGAAUACCGAUGGCGAAGGCAGCCAUCUGGCCUAAUACUGACACUGAGGUGCGAAAGCAUGGGGAGCAAACAGGAUUAGAAACCCCUGUAGUCC
rnacentral:rRNA from 1 species